rnacentral:other from 2 species
CUCAACCUGGGUUGUUCGCCAGUCGGUGAUGUCCCUGAGCCGAUACUCUUUUUCCAGGGAAGCACAAAGCAUGCGGUGCGCAGGUCCGUUCGCGGAAAGCCUAAUGUAUGUUUGCGUUUUCCGCCUUGAACCGUUGGGUUCAAGGGCUAAACUGACAGCGGCAACCUGGGGGUUUU